UACGAAGGGGGCUAGCGUUGCUCGGAAUUACUGGGCGUAAAGCGCGCGUAGGCGGCAACCCAAGUCGGAUGUGAAAGCCCUCGGCUCACCCGAGGAAGCGCAUUCGAAACUAGGUCGCUCGAGUCUGGGAGAGGGUCACGGAAUUCCCGGAGUAGAGGUGAAAUUCGUAGAUACUGGGAGGAACACCGGCGGCGAAGGCGGUGACCUGGCCCGAGACUGACGCUGAGGCGCGAAAGCGUGGGGAGCAAACAGG
rnacentral:rRNA from 1 species